ACAGCAGUAGCCGCGGGAAUACAGAGGGUGCGAGCGUUAAUCGGAUUUACUGGGCGUAAAGCGUGCGUAGGCGGCUUUUUAAGUCGGAUGUGAAAUCCCUGAGCUUAACUUAGGAAUUGCAUUCGAUACUAAGAAGCUAGAGUAUGGGAGAGGAUGGUAGAAUUCCAGGUGUAGCGGUGAAAUGCGUAGAGAUCUGGAGGAAUACCGAUGGCGAAGGCAGCCAUCUGGCCUAAUACUGACGCUGAGGUACGAAAGCAUGGGGAGCAAACAGGAUUAGAUACCCGUGUAGUCCCUGUCUCUUAUAA
rnacentral:rRNA from 1 species